AAAAUUUUAGUUUAAAUAAAAUAUUUCAUUUACAUUGAAUAGAUUGAUUAAUUAAUAGUUAAAAUUUUA
rnacentral:tRNA from 1 species